rnacentral:snRNA from 1 species
UCCGGGAUCGAGCUACCGGAAG